rnacentral:rRNA from 1 species
GAUUAAAGCCAUGCAUGUCUAAGUAUAAGCAAUUAUACAGCGAAACUGCGAAUGGCUCAUUAAAUCAGUUAUCGUUUAUUUGAUAGUACCUUACUACAUGGAUAACCGUGGUAAUUCUAGAGCUAAUACAUGCUGAAAACCCCGACUUCGGAAGGGGUGUAUUUAUUAGAUUAAAAACCAAUGCCCUCCGGGGCUCACUGGUGAUUCAUGAUAACUUCUCGAAUCGCACGGCCUUGCGCCGGCGAUGGUUCAUUCAAAUUUCUGCCCUAUCAACUUUCGACGGCUGGGUCUUGGCCAGCCGUGGUGACAACGGGUAACGGAGGGUUAGGGCUCGACCCCGGAGAAAACGCCUGAGAAACGGCGUUUACAUCCAAGGAAGGCAGCAGGCGCGCAAAUUACCCAAUGCCGACACGGCGAGGUAGUGACGAGAAAUACUGAUACAGGGCUCUUUUGGGUCUUGUAAUUGGAAUGAGUACAAUUUAAAUCUCUUAACGAGGAACAAUUGGAGGGCAAGUCUGGUGCCAGCAGCCGCGGUAAUUCCAGCUCCAAUAGCGUAUAUUAAAGUUGUUGCAGUUAAAAAGCUCGUAGUUGAACCUUGGGCCUGGCUGGCCGGUCCGCCUCACCGCGUGCACUGGUCCGGCCGGGCCUUUCCCUCUGGGGAGCCCCAUGCCCUUUACUGGGCGUGGCGGGGAACCAGGACUUUUACUUUGAAAAAAUUAGAGUGUUCAAAGCAGGCCUAUGCUCGAAUACAUUAGCAUGGAAUAAUAGAAUAGGACGUGUGGUUCUAUUUUGUUGGUUUCUAGGACCGCCGUAAUGAUUAAUAGGACAGUCGGGGGCGUCAGUAUUCAAUUGUCAGAGGUGAAAUUCUUGGAUUUAUUGAAGACUAACUACUGCGAAAGCAUUCGUCAAGGAUG